rnacentral:rRNA from 1 species
GUGAGGUGGAGGCAAAACUCAAAAACUUAGUCUCAGUUCGGAUUGUAGGCUGAAACUCGCCUACAUGAAGCUGGAGUUGCUAGUAAUCGCGAAUCAGCAUGUCGCGGUGAAUACGUUCCCGGGCCUUGUACACACCGCCCGUCACACCAUGAGAGUUGGCAAUACCCAACGUACGUGAUCUAACCCGCAAGGGAGGAAGCGUCCUAAGGUAGGGUCAGCGAUUGGGGUGAAGUCGUAACAAGGUACC